rnacentral:lncRNA from 10 species
AGCACCAACCCCAUUUGGGAAGCAAUCUUCUUCUUGAUGGAUUGAGACGCAAGCUUGUUUCACACUACUUCCAAAUAAGUGUGUAGAGCCAUAUUUUUUUUAUUUUGCAUUCUGACAUAUUAUACAUUAUCAACCAGUUUUCUUCAAAAGAAAGACCUGAACCAGCAGUGUAAGAGGCUUCACAGGACAAAAGGGAUUUUAAUUUGAAGAAAGAGAGGAAGAGAGAAAAUGACAAAGGGAAGAGAACUAACGGGCGGGAAGGGUGAGAGACAAAAGGAAAAGAUAAGAGAGAAGCACAAAAGGUGGUGGCGUCUCACAGGUCAGAAGAAGCUGCGUGAUGGGAGGUUAAGAGUAUGAACCUUACCAACAGGUAAAAAUGUGUCAUAUUAAUUUUUUCAACAUCAACAAACACGUCAAAAGAUGGAGCACUGAAAGCUGCAUUUUAAACAAAUGCCCCAGUCCCACUGAGAAGUGACAGCAUGCUGGCAGCCCUCGCAGCCCUCGCUCGCUCUUGGCACCUGCCCUUGGCACCUCCUCGGCCUCAGCGCCCACUCUGGCCGCGCUUGAGGAGCCCUUCAGCCUGCCGCUGUACUGUGGGAGCCCCUUCUUGGGAUGGCCGAGGCUGGAGCCGGCUCCCUCAGCCUGCGGGGAGGUGCGGAGGGAGAGGCAUAGGCGGGAACCGGGGCUGCCCGCGGCACUUGCGGGCCAGCUAGAAUUCUGGGUGGGCUUGGUGGGCCCGGCACUUGGAGUGGCCAGCCGGCCCCGAGCAGUGAGGGCUUAGCACUUGGGCCAGCAGCUGCGGUGGGUGCGCCGGGUCCCCCAGCGGUCUCGGCCCACUGUCGCUGCGCUAGAUUUCUCGCCGGGCCUUAGCUGCCACCCCGCAGGGCAGGGCUCGGGACCCAAAGCCCGCCAUGCCUGAGUCCCGCCCCUCCCCGCCCCCCC